rnacentral:rRNA from 1 species
GGGUUGUGAGGUUAAGCGACUAAGCGUACACGGUGGAUGCCCUGGCAGUCAGAGGCGAUGAAGGACGUGCUAAUCUGCGAAAAGCGUCGGUAAGGUGAUAUGAACCGUUAUAACCGGCGAUGUCCGAAUGGGGAAACCCAGUGCAAUUCGUUGCACUAUCGUUAACUGAAUACAUAGGUUAACGAGGCGAACCGGGGGAACUGAAACAUCUAAGUACCCCGAGGAAAAGAAAUCAACCGAGAUUCCCCCAGUAGCGGCGAGCGAACGGGGAGCAGCCCAGAGUCUGAAUCAGCUUGUGUGUUAGUGGAACGGUCUGGAAAGUCCGACGGUACAGGGUGAUAGUCCCGUACACCAAAAUGCACAGGUUGUGAACUCGAAGAGUAGGGCGGGACACGUGGUAUCCUGUCUGAAUAUGGGGGGACCAUCCUCCAAGGCUAAAUACUCCUGACUGACCGAUAGUGAACCAGUACCGUGAGGGAAAGGCGAAAAGAACCCCGGCGAGGGGAGUGAAAAAGAACCUGAAACCGUGUACGUACAAGCAGUGGGAGCACCUUCGGGUGUGACUGCGUACCUUUUGUAUAAUGGGUCAGCGACUUAUAUUCUGUAGCAAGGUUAACCGUAUAGGGGAGCCGCAGGGAAACCGAGUCUUAACUGGGCGUUAAGUUGCAGGGUAUAGACCCGAAACCCGGUGAUCUAGCCAUGGGCAGGUUGAAGGUUGGGUAACACUAACUGGAGGACCGAACCGACUAAUGUUGAAAAAUUAGCGGAUGACUUGUGGCUGGGGGUGAAAGGCCAAUCAAACCGGGAGAUAGCUGGUUCUCCCCGAAAGCUAUUUAGGUAGCGCCUCGUGAAUUCAUCUUCGGGGGUAGAGCACUGUUUCGGCUAGGGGGUCAUCCCGACUUACCAACCCGAUGCAAACUACGAAUACCGAAGAAUGUUAUCACGGGAGACACACGGCGGGUGCUAACGUCCGUCGUGAAGAGGGAAACAACCCAGACCGCCAGCUAAGGUCCCAAAGUCAUGGUUAAGUGGGAAACGAUGUGGGAAGGCACAGACAGCCAGGAUGUUGGCUUAGAAGCAGCCAUCAUUUAAAGAAAGCGUAAUAGCUCACUGGUCGAGUCGGCCUGCGCGGAAGAUGUAACGGGGCUAAACCAUGCACCGAAGCUGCGGCAGCGACACUAUGUGUUGUUGGGUAGGGGAGCGUUCUGUAAGCCUGCGAAGGUGACCUGUGAGGGUUGCUGGAGGUAUCAGAAGUGCGAAUGCUGACAUAAGUAACGAUAAAGCGGGUGAAAAGCCCGCUCGCCGGAAGACCAAGGGUUCCUGUCCAACGUUAAUCGGGGCAGGGUGAGUCGACCCCUAAGGCGAGGCCGAAAGGCGUAGUCGAUGGGAAACAGGUUAAUAUUCCUGUACUUGGUGUUACUGCGAAGGGGGGACGGAGAAGGCUAUGUUAGCCGGGCGACGGUUGUCCCGGUUUAAGCAUGUAGGCUGGUUAUCCAGGCAAAUCCGGAUAAUCAAGGCUGAGGUGUGAUGACGAGGCACUACGGUGCUGAAGUAACAAAUGCCCUGCUUCCAGGAAAAGCCUCUAAGCAUCAGGUAACAUCAAAUCGUACCCCAAACCGACACAGGUGGUCAGGUAGAGAAUACCAAGGCGCUUGAGAGAACUCGGGUGAAGGAACUAGGCAAAAUGGUGCCGUAACUUCGGGAGAAGGCACGCUGGUGUGUAGGUGAAGCCCCUGCGGGUGGAGCUGAGACCAGUCGAAGAUACCAGCUGGCUGCAACUGUUUAUUAAAAACACAGCACUGUGCAAACACGAAAGUGGACGUAUACGGUGUGACGCCUGCCCGGUGCCGGAAGGUUAAUUGAUGGGGUUAUCCGUAAGGAGAAGCUCUUGAUCGAAGCCCCGGUAAACGGCGGCCGUAACUAUAACGGUCCUAAGGUAGCGAAAUUCCUUGUCGGGUAAGUUCCGACCUGCACGAAUGGCGUAAUGAUGGCCAGGCUGUCUCCACCCGAGACUCAGUGAAAUUGAACUCGCUGUGAAGAUGCAGUGUACCCGCGGCAAGACGGAAAGACCCCGUGAACCUUUACUAUAGCUUGACACUGAACAUUGAGCCUUGAUGUGUAGGAUAGGUGGGAGGCUUUGAAGCGUGGACGCCAGUCUGCGUGGAGCCAACCUUGAAAUACCACCCUUUAAUGUUUGAUGUUCUAACGUUGGCCCCUGACCGGGGUUGCGGACAGUGUCUGGUGGGUAGUUUGACUGGGGCGGUCUCCUCCCAAAGCGUAACGGAGGAGCACGAAGGUUAGCUAAUCCUGGUCGGACAUCAGGAGGUUAGUGCAAUGGCAUAAGCUAGCUUGACUGCGAGCGUGACGGCGCGAGCAGGUGCGAAAGCAGGUCAUAGUGAUCCGGUGGUUCUGAAUGGAAGGGCCAUCGCUCAACGGAUAAAAGGUACUCCGGGGAUAACAGGCUGAUACCGCCCAAGAGUUCAUAUCGACGGCGGUGUUUGGCACCUCGAUGUCGGCUCAUCACAUCCUGGGGCUGAAGUAGGUCCCAAGGGUAUGGCUGUUCGCCAUUUAAAGUGGUACGCGAGCUGGGUUUAGAACGUCGUGAGACAGUUCGGUCCCUAUCUGCCGUGGGCGCUGGAGAAUUGAGGGGGGCUGCUCCUAGUACGAGAGGACCGGAGUGGACGCAUCACUGGUGUUCGGGUUGUCAUGCCAAUGGCACUGCCCGGUAGCUAAAUGCGGAAGAGAUAAGUGCUGAAAGCAUCUAAGCACGAAACUUGCCCCGAGAUGAGUUCUCCCUGAGACUUUAAGUCUCCUGAAGGAACGUUAAAGACGAUGACGUUGAUAGGCCGGGUGUGUAAGCGCAGCGAUGCGUUGAGCUAACCGGUACUAAUGAACCGUGAGGCUUAACCUUACAACGCCGAAG